ACGUGCAAAGCUGGAGAAAGACACAGACGCCAGAGGAGCGGACAUUCUCGCAGUGCGCAAGCGCAGACAGGCCCCGCCCCGCCGUUUGCGCGCCCGCUAAGACACUGCGCGCACACCGGAAGUUAGUACUCGCGGGCGCCGUCCCGGGUUUCUGGUUCCGAGCCCCGCCGGUCGAGGCCCGGUUCCGGCUUUGGCUCCUCCCUCCCACGGGAAAUCUCUAGAAGCCUUAAUAUCCGGGACUAGUGGCUGGCGCUGACGCGCAUUUCCGGCGGCGGGCGCGAAAGAAAUAAUGCUUUUCCAUGACAAAGAACACUUCAAGGAUAUGACCACCAUAUAAAUACUACAAAAAAUUCUCAGGGAUAUGCUACAAAGAGCCAAAGAAGCCAACAAUGCCAAAACCUCUAACAGAAUGAGUAUAAUAAGCAGAGUGAGCAGAGUUCCAUCCAAGAAGUGAAUCAGCUGGCAUCUAGACUUGGGACUUGUCAGCUGCCAAACUACAAGUAAUAUAUAUUUGCUGUUUUAAGCCACCUGGUCUACUAUAUUUUGUUAUAGCAGUCCAAGCUCACAGGCUCAGACCUUCAAGAAGUAACUUCCUAGGUGCCUAAUAAAUCAAGUGCUUAUAAAUCAGGGUUCAGAAGGCAGCCCAAUAUAAAGGACAGACACAUGAAAAUUCUCAAGUUUCCAGGCCAUCCUCUUUUGCUUCUAAUCUCUGAGACAGAAAUUCUGGAGCCAUAAUAAAGGAGCUGGAUACUGUCUUUCCUUUACAGAAAACCGAGGAAACAUUCAUGGUUGGCCAUGAGGUGACUGACAUGUACUCUCAUGGUGGAAGAUUUGAGAUGUAGAGAUGAGAAAAUUGUCCCACACAGGAUCAUUUCUAUUACUGCAGUCACAACACAAGCAGAACAGAGGCAAUCAUCUAGCAAGGUCCUGUGCUCAAGGAGGCGUGGGCUACCUCCAUCCUUCUCCUCUCUUGGCAGCACUGGAAGAAGUAAGGCUGGCCAGCAGUCAGUGUCAAUGAAAGGACAGCAUCAUAGCAAACAGGCUUGUGGUGAGACUUUAAGACACACAGGAAGUUACAAGAGAAACAGCAUUUGUUUCAACUCCACCCACUGACCUUUCAGCAAACAGCAACAUCCUCAGGACUCUUAGAGGAAUGGUUUUGUAACCCUGGGGAAAAGACACUGCUUCUAAAUAUAAUUGACAUGGCUUUCCUGCCUUCAUUGGGGUAUCCAUUUUCCCCCACAUAAUCUUCCCAUUGUCCACACUGAUUCCUGUUUGGUUUGGCAGGGGAAGCUGCUGGCAGGCUUCCCAUGUGUUGAAUGUUCCUUACUUCACUGUGCUGGGCCCACUGAAAUAACAGUAGGCUUCUCUAGCUCUCUGAAAAAAGAGCCAAACUCCACAUGAAUUGUGAAACUCGUUUCUGGUUACCAAGAAAACGUAAAGAAAUUGCAAUGAAGAAAAAAAAAAUCAUUGAAAUUCUUUCUAACUUUUGAACAAGAAAGAUAUUUUUAGCACUUUAGAUUUAUGAAAGUCAGUGCUUCAACUUCCUGCCAGAUUUUGAUACCUCCUAUUCUUUGCACUGCAUUAUUUAAAUACACUGUAAAUAUCCUUAGUUGCCUGAAAAGCAACUAAGAUAGUGCAAGAUGGCCAGUGUCUGAGGACCUUGUUGACUCUGAAAGACAAAAGUUCUAUCUCUGGUCCAUAAAUCUAAAUUAGAACUAUGAUAAAGGUCCCAAUGAAAGAUCCCAUAUGAAAUCCAUAUUUUGACAGCUAGAUAAGUAGGUCAUUUUUAAGACAGAUUUUGAAUCCCUGCCCAGAGUCAAACACAGCCCAGCAGCCUUGAAGUAAACACUUCUUAACUGACUGGGUCAGUGUCCUGCCUUUUAGGGUACAGGAAAAGUUGGAAGUAGAGGACAGGUUGGAAAGUCUGAGCCUGGAAAGAUGACUCCUGACUUGGGUUGCUAUUUUGAUAUUUUUUAACUUAUGUUACAUUAAGCUUUAUGCUAUUUGCUGAAAAUACCAUCCUGUUUAAAAAAAAAAAUCCCAAGCCUGUAAAGAAAAUACAGGAAACAUGAAGAGAGUAUGCUAUAUAUGAAGCCUGUGGUAUAAAACUCUAUAAAACCCAGAGGUCUUGAGUGUGGUAGGGUAUGCCUGUAAUCCCAGCACUCAGGAAGUUAAAGCAGGAGGAGUGCCACCAGUCCAAAGCCAGCCAAGGCUACCUAGUAAGCUUGAGGCCAGCCUGAACUGAAACUGUGUCUCAAAAACCCAAAACCAAACCAAACCUAACCUAACCAAAAAAACCAAAACCAAACCAACCAAACAAACAGAAAAACAUAGGCAUCAAUCACUAAGAUGUACUCAAAGUGCCUGUUUCUUUAAGGGCAAUGCAGUUUAGAUGGUAAGGAGGAAUAGAGAUAAUCCAUUUAUAUGUACUCUGUAAUAAUGGUAGCUCACAGCCUAUCAGAGGGCAGAGCAGGCAGGCCAGUUGCCCUGCAGUGGGUACCUUCACUCUCCCCACUGCCAUGUAGCUUCUCUGCUCUUGCUGCCUAUAGGCCUCCAUCAAUAACUUCUGGACCAAUGGAUUCUAGGGCUUUUAUCCUCUGAUCAGCAAGCAGACUUCUUCUUUUUCUUGAGACCAACUCUUUGCAGAGGUAUUCUAAAAGUAGAACUUUAAAGUCUCAAUAAUAUAAUUCUGCUAGCAAUAGUUGUCUUCUUCAAACGGUGUCCUGCCAUGUCCUUUCUCAACACCAACAGCACCUUGAUAAGAAUUGGUAAAGUUCCUUUUUAUUAAGAACAUUGUCUUCCUUCUAGCAGAAAAUUGCAAAGAAAGUGUGUUCCUAUUUUCAGUAUGUAUGAUGCUUUCUUAUAUGUGCUUUGGUUCAGUGUCCAACAUGACUGUCUAGAUGUGAUGUUCUAGUUAAGUACAGCUGGAAAGAGAAAGUUAGGCAUAGCUCCCUUAGAAGCUUCUAUCCUCCAUAUCAUAAAAGUCUUGCUGCAGAAACCAGAUCAUUCUCUAGGAUUUCUCUGAUAGGUUCUGCUAGCCUAGGGCUUAGCUAUCUGUAACAUGAUAUCUACCCAACUUGGUACUGGAUCCAAAGAAACAACUUACCUCUCCAAGAGUAGCUUCUGUGUUUUCUUGUUCCAGAGAUAAAUCUGCUCUUGUUUUGUGCAUGUGCGGAGCCCUCUGUGAUCCCAAGACUCCACAACCACCCAGGCCUCCACCCCCAGCCCCAGUAAAUCUUUCUAUCUCCUGUUUUACACAGGUAGAUGCUCCUUCAAAUCAGCUGUUAAUGUCAUUUUGUCGACCUCCCAAACUCCUACCCCAGCCAAAACUGAUACAAGUAGUUUCACUUCUUUGUUUUUGCUGAGCCGCUGCACCCCUAUAAGGCACUCCCAUUCCCUCAUUAAAGGCCUCUUCCUACUUUGUCUUCUUAUCUCUCCUGUACCACUUUAGAUUGAGUACCCAAAAUAGUCAUUCUCAAUGAAGCUUCAUUUUAGAGAGUUUGUGCUCUUUUUCUCUUGUCUAGCCUCCUUUGAGGAAUAUACCCCUCCUUCCUGGUCAUCAGACAAACCUAUAUAUGUCCUAAUUCAAAUAUCUCAUUCAGGUUCUCUUUCAAAGUGCUCCUGGGCCCCUUGCAAAUCUAGGUAGCUUGAAUUCUAGAUUGCAAAUCUAGGCAAACAUCUGUUAGUAUGCCAUAGAAAACAUCAGAGGACUAUAAACUACUAGAGGCUGGAUGACUUCAAGAUUCAGGAUGGUCCUAAAUUCAUAGGUGGCCUGUCAGAGACUUACCUGAAUCCAUCCCUCUAAUAAUCUUUUAUGAAAAUAACAGCAGUCAGUAAGCUACUUACUAGCUUUUUUUCCAAUCCUCCUUUUCUCUCCAGAUCAGAAAGAACUCUUGUGAGCAACAUCAAAGUUCAAGUUGGAGUGUUACACUUGAGUCAAAAUGAGUUUGCUAGAGUUUGAAUGUUCCUCAAAAGUCCAUAUGUAAAAUUGUGGUUCUCAGGGUGCUAAUAUGUGGACCUUUAAGAAGUGGGCCAUGAUGAGGUGUACUUACAUCAUUGAGGGUAUGCCCGUGUGAAAGGGAUUAUGAAACCCCAGUCUCUCAGACUGCAUCCUUGUAAGAUAUUUGCUCCUGCAUGUGCUGCUAUUUUGAUGAACCACACAUGCAUCUUGCUGUGGCCAAAAGCGAUAAUUUGCAAGGACUGUCCAGCCUUGGACUUGAAUUAUCAAACUAUGAUCUAAGUAAAACUUUUCUGUUUGUAAGUUGUCUCCAGUUGUAAUGCACAGCUGACUAAUACAAAGCCCUUUCUCUUUUCCAAAUUAUAGUGAAAUGAAUAAACUUAGUGGUAAUGCACUGGAGCUUGGGGUUACAAUGA